rnacentral:rRNA from 1 species
UACGGAGGGUGCAAGCGUUAAUCGGAAUUACUGGGCGUAAAGCGUGCGCAGGCGGUUUGUUAAGUCCGCUGUGAAAUCCCCGAGCUCAACUUGGGAAUUGCAGUGGAUACUGGCAAGCUGGAGUAUGGUAGAGGAAGGUGGAAUUCCCGGUGUAGCAGUGAAAUGCGUAGAUAUCGGAAGGAACACCAGUGGCGAAAGCGGCUUCCUGGUCCAGCACCGACGUUCAGGCACGAAAGCGUGGGGAGCAAACAGG